CCCGCACAAGCGGCGGAGCAUGCGAUUAAUUCGAUGCAACGCGAAGAACCUUUACCAAGGCUUGACAUACACCGGUAACGCCCAGAGAUGGUGCCCCUUGUGGUCGGUGGACAGGUGGUGCAUGGUUGUCGUCAGCUCGUGUCGUGAGAUGUUGGGUUAAGUCCCGCAACGAGCGCAACCCUCGUCCUAUGUUGCCAGCGGGUCAUGCCGGGGACUCAUGGGAGACUGCCGGGGUCAACUCGGAGGAAGGUGGGAUGACGUCAAAUCAUCAUGCCCCUUAUGUCUUGGGCUUCACGCAUGCUACAAUGGCCGGUACAAAGGGCUGCGAUACCGCGAGGUGGAGCGAAUCCCAGAAAGCCGGUCUCAGUUCGGAUUGGGGUCUGCAACUCGACCCCAUGAAGUCGGAGUCGCUAGUAAUCGCAGAUCAGCAACGCUGCGGUGAAUACGUUCCCGGGUCUU
rnacentral:rRNA from 1 species